rnacentral:rRNA from 1 species
GACGAACGCUGGCGGCGUGCUUAACACAUGCAAGUCGAACGGAAAGGCGCGGCGUUUGUGGGGUGCUCGAUUGGCGAACGGGGGAGUAACACGUGAGUAACCUGUCCUUAACUGUGGGAUAACUUCAGGGAACUGGGGCUAAUAUCGGGUAGGAGCUACUGCUGCAUGGGGUGGGUUGGAAAGUGUCGGCGGUUGGGGAUGGACUCGCGGGUUAUCCGCUAGUUUGUGAGGUAGUUGCUUACCAAGGCUUUGACGGGUAGCCGGCAUGAGAGGGUGACCGGGCACCAUGCGACUGAGAUACGGCCCAGAAUCCUACGGGACGCAGCAGUGGGGAAUAUUGCACAAUGGGCGGACGUCUGAUGUAGAAACCCUGCGAGCGGGAUGCCGUCUUUCUGGUUGUAAACCGAUUUCGAAUGUGCCGAACACUGAGUGACGGUACUGGGUAAAGAAGCACCGGCUAACUACGUG